UGAUACCGGAUGUUCGGCAGUUAUGGGGACAGCUUCUGACCCACAAGAUGGGAGAGUUAAUGGUGGGAGUUAUGGGGUUAUGGGGCAGCUCUGACCCACAAGUGGGGAGUUAUGGGGCAGCUCUGACCCACAAGUGGGGAGUUAUGGGGGAUAGUCUAUGGUGGUUUAUGGUGCAGCUCUGACCGCAGCAGGUGGGGAUGGUCUCACUGAGAAGAAUUAUGGGGCUAGCUCUUAUGACCACACAUCAGUGGGGAGUUAUGGGCGUUUAUGGCGGCAGCUUUCUGACCCACCAAGUGGGAGUUAUGGGAGUGGGAUGGGGAGUUUAUGGGGCAGCUCUGACCCACAAGUGGGGAGUUAUGGGGUUAUGGGGCAGCUC
rnacentral:lncRNA from 1 species